rnacentral:rRNA from 1 species
CGGCGAUUUCCGAAUGGGGAAACCCAGUGUGAUUCGUCACACUAUCAUUAACUGAAUCCAUAGGUUAAUGAGGCGAACCGGGGGAACUGAAACAUCUAAGUACCCCGAGGAAAAGAAAUCAACCGAGAUUCCCCCAGUAGCGGCGAGCGAACGGGGAGGAGCCCAGAGCCUGAAUCAGUGUGUGUGUUAGUGGAAGCGUCUGGAAAGGCGCGCGAUACAGGGUGACAGCCCCGUACACAAAAAUGCACAUACUGUGAGCUCGAUGAGUAGGGCGGGACACGUGGUAUCCUGUCUGAAUAUGGGGGGACCAUCCUCCAAGGCUAAAUACUCCUGACUGACCGAUAGUGAACCAGUACCGUGA